AAUGAACGCUGGCGGCAUGCCUAACACAUGCAAGUCGAACGAAGGCUUCGGCCUUAGUGGCGCACGGGUGCGUAACGCGUGGGAAUAUGCCCUUCUCUACGGAAUAGUCCUGGGAAACUGGGGGUAAUACCGUAUACGCCCUUUGGGGGAAAGAUUUAUCGGGGAAGGAUUAGCCCGCGUUGGAUUAGGUAGUUGGUGGGGUAAUGGCCUACCAAGCCGACGAUCCAUAGCUGGUUUGAGAGGAUGAUCAGCCACACUGGGACUGAGACACGGCCCAGACUCCUACGGGAAGCAGCAGUGGGGAAUCUUAGACAAUGGGGGCAACCCUGAUCUAGCCAUGCCGCGUGAGUGAUGAAGGCCUUAGGGUUGUAAAGCUCUUUCAGCUGGGAAGAUAAUGACGGUACCAGCAGAAGAAGCCCCGGCUAACUCCGUG
rnacentral:rRNA from 1 species